UCCCUGAAGUCCUUUCCAACUUGAGUUCUCCUGUGAUCCUGUGAACUUGACAGGCUCAGAAAACUAGAAAUAUUUUUUUUUCCAAGUUAAUCCGUGUUACAUUUCCCUCUAAUAAAGCAGAUUUUCUCGCAGAUUCUAUCAUUUUGACAAGUUAGCAUUUGAACAGAACUCAGUUUUGUAAAGGAAAUCCUACAAAGUUUAGUUAUAACAAAUUUUUCUAGGGAAAAAAACAGCCUCUUUGUGCCAGAGAAAGUCAUGGAGACAGUGCACUGGAAACUAUUUAUCUUGUGCCAUGCAGACAUCUGAAGUGUCCUUCCAGUUAUCUCAUGCUUCCAAGGACCACUCUGCUCCAGGUUGUGGGAAAAGCUACCUGCAGGAUCUGUUAAACUAAUUCCAUGUAUUCAGUCUAGUAAAUUUACUCUUAAACACACCAGAUAUUAAAGAACAGGGGAACAUUCCAGCUUUGGCAAGACAAGGUUCUUCCUACUAGCACUCCUUUGGGAAAGGCAGAGGAAUAUCCAUGUAAAUGGAUAAUCUGACUUGUAAUAAAGCAGCUA